rnacentral:rRNA from 1 species
CAUAUUAAUCAGCGGAGGAA